rnacentral:rRNA from 1 species
AUUGAACGCUGGCGGCAGGCUUAACACAUGCAAGUCGAGCGAGCGGCGGCCGGGUGAGUAAUGUCUGGGAAACUGCCUGAUGGAGGGGGAUAACUACUGGAAACGGUAGCUAAUACCGCAUACCAUCAGAUGUGCCCAGAUGGGAUUAGCUAGUGGGUGGGGUAAUGGUUCACCUAGGCGACGAUCCCUAGCUGGUCUGAGAGGAUGACCAGCGACACUGGAACUGAGGCACGGUCGAGACUCCUACGGGAGGCAGCAGUGGGGAAUAUUGCACAAUGGGCGCAAGCCGGAUACAUGCAUGCCGCGUGUAUGAAGAAGGCCGUCGGGUUGUAAAGUACUGUCAGCGGGGAGGCGUUACCAUCAGAAGAAGCACCGGCUAACUCCGUGCCAGCAGCCGCGGUAAUUC